AUCAGAAGAAGAAUCUACUAACAUCUAUUUUUCAUACCCCUAAGUGAUAGGGUAAGUCCAGGAUACAUGCCUCAGUGGGAUAGAUGACUUGAUUUUUAUUUCACUAUGUUAGGAGCACUGUGAGAGUUAAAUUUCUCUAUAAGUAACGAGUCCUCCCCCCACCAACCUCAGUGCCAGGCAGACUGUGGACAGGAGCGCACGCGUUUCGUCCGUGUGAGUAAAAAUCUUCCGCGGCGAGACGACAAAAGGCGCCAAAAUAAGAUUCGAGAGCAAAAUGCCUCGUAAAUAUAAAAGAAAACCGGGUGUUAUCCCUCGCGCUGUUACCUGGACCGAAGAAAGUAUGCUAGCAGCGUUUGAAGAGAUGAAAAAGGGAGACAAGGGUGUAAAUCAGAUUUCUAAAAUUUAUGGCAUACCAUCUAGAACAUUAAGACGAAGAUUUCUUAAAAAUGACCAACAAAAAUUGACAUUAGGUAAACACCCUGUGCUAGGGUUUGAUAACGAAAAUCUCCCCCUAUCUUAAGAAUAAUUUAGUCUGAUACCAAA